AUUGAACGCUGGCGGCAGGCUUAACACAUGCAAGUCGAGCGGGGUGAUGGUGCUUGCACUAUCACUUAGCGGCGGACGGGUGAGUAAUGCUUAGGAAUCUGCCUAUUAGUGGGGGACAACAUCUCGAAAGGGAUGCUAAUACCGCAUACGUCCUACGGGAGAAAGCAGGGGAUCACUUGUGACCUUGCGCUAAUAGAUGAGCCUAAGUCGGAUUAGCUAGUUGGUGGGGUAAAGGCCUACCAAGGCGACGAUCUGUAGCGGGUCUGAGAGGGUGAUCCGCCACACGGGGACUGAGACAAGGCCCAGACUCCGUCGGGAGGCAGCAGUGGGGAAUAUUGGAGAAUGGGGGGAACCCUGAUCCAGCCAUGCCGCGUGUGUGAAGAAGGCCUUAUGGUUGUAAAGCACUUUAAGCGAGGAGGAGGCUCUUUUGGUUAAUACCCAAGAUGAGUGGACGUUACUCGCAGAAUAAGCACCGGCUAACCCUGUGCCAGCAGCCGCCGUAA
rnacentral:rRNA from 1 species